rnacentral:rRNA from 1 species
UAUUUUAAAUUGUAAAUUGAUGAAUUCUACCUAAGUAUUAUGAAUAUAUAUUUAAAAUUUAAAGGACUUGGCGGUGUCUUAGACUUUUUAGGGGAACCUGUUUUUUAAUCGAUGGUCCUCGUUUUACCUUACCUACUUUUGUUUUCAGUUUGUAUACCGUCGUCGUCAGUUAACUUUAAAGAAAAUGGAAGUUGUCUUUAAAAAUUUUUAGUUUUAAAUGUCAGAUCAAGGUGCAGCUUAUAAAUAGGUUAAUAUGGGUUACAAUUAUUUAGUUGUAUAUAGGAUAAUUUUAUGAAAUUAUUAUUUGAAAAAGGACUUAAAAGUAAUUUAAUUUAGAUAUAUUUAAUGAAUAUGGCUCUUGGAUGUGCACACACCGCCCGUCACCCUCA